rnacentral:rRNA from 1 species
GACAGAGGGUGCAAACGUUGCUCGGAAUUACUGGGCGUAAAGCGCGUGUAGGCGGUUCCGCCAGUCUGGUGUGAAAGCCCGGGGCUCAACCCCGGAAGCGCAUUGGAUACUACGGAGCUUGAGUCCUGAAGAGGAGAGCGGAAUUCCCGGCGUAGUGGUGAAAUGCGUAGAUAUCGGGAGGAACACCAGUGGCGAAGGCGGCUACCUGGCCCACUCUUGACGCUGAGGCGCGAAAGCUAGGGGAGCAAACGGG